UACGGAGGGUGCAAACGUUGCUCGGAAUCACUGGGCGUAAAGGGUGCGUAGGCGGGUCUUUAAGUCCGGGGUGAAAUCCUGGAGCUCAACUCCAGAACUGCCUUUGAUACUGAAGAUCUUGAGUUCGGGAGAGGUGAGUGGAACUGCGAGUGUAGAGGUGAAAUUCGUAGAUAUUCGCAAGAACACCAGUGGCGAAGGCGGCUCACUGGCCCGAUACUGACGCUGAGGCACGAAGGCGUGGGGAGCAAACAGG
rnacentral:rRNA from 1 species